AAUCAACGCUGGCGGCGUGCCUAACACAUGCAAGUCGAGCGCGAAAGGGGAGCAAUCCCCAAGUAGAGCGGCGAACGGGUGAGUAACGCGUGGGUAAUCUGCCUCCGAGUGGGGAACAACACCGGGAAACUGGUGCUAAUACCGCAUGACAUCGUUGGACCUUCGGAUCUGACGAUCAAAGACCGGGGACCGGCAAGGCCUGGCGCUUGGAGAGGAGCCCGCGUCCGAUUAGCAGUUGGUGGGGUAAGUGGCCCACCAAGGCUACGAUCGGUAGCCGGCCUGAGAGGGCGGACGGCCACACUGGGACUGAGACACGGCCCAGACUCCUACGGGAGGCAGCAGU
rnacentral:rRNA from 1 species